AAAACAUCGCCUCCUGCAACAUUACCAAGUAUAAGAGGUCCAGCCUGCCCAGUGACCAAGUGUUCAACGGCCGCGGUAUUUUGACCGUGCAAAGGUAGCGCAAUCACUUGUCUUUUAAAUUAAGACCGGUAUGAAUGGCUAAACGAGGGCUUAACUGUCUCCCAUUUCAAGUCAGUAAAAUUGAUCUAUCCGUGCAGAAGCGGGUAUAAUUAUACAAGACGAGAAGACCCUUUGGAGCUUUAGGUAAAAACCAACCAUGUCAAGCAACUUAAAAAUAAGUUUAAAACUUUGUGGCAUCUGGGACCUUUACCUUCGGUUGGGGCGACCAUGGAGAAAAAAAUAACCUCCAAGUGGAACGGGCCAAAGACCCUAAAACUAAGAGAGACAUCUCUAAGCAACAGAACAUCUGACCAUUAAUGAUCCGGCCUACACACGGCCGACCAACGAACCAAGUUACCCCAGGGAUAACAGCGCAAUCCUCUCCCAGAGCCCAUAUCGACGAGAGGGUUUACGACCUCGAUGUUGGAUCAGGACAUCCUAAUGGUGCAGCCGCUAUUAAGGGUUCGUUUGUUCAACGAUUAAAGUCCUACGUGA
rnacentral:rRNA from 1 species